ACAGAAAUCUAUCACUGCUUUUUAGGAUAAGCUUGACUUUUGUUCAAAUAAAAAUGCAAAAGGAAAGUGUAUCCUAAAAGGCAAUGACAGUUUAAUGUGUUUCUGACAU
rnacentral:pre_miRNA from 2 species